rnacentral:rRNA from 1 species
AACACCACAAUAAAAGAGACGGAUCAUAACUUUCACCAGAAUAAAAUCAUAUACCCUUUUGAUUACGAGAUUUAAUACAUGCAUCUACAAUGUUAUCUUUACCAUAAUAGAAACAUAAGUGAGGAUUCGAAAGAUCCGAGGAUCGAUAACCAAGAAACGUCGGUAUUAUCUCUACCAUAAUAAUAACGAAAUAAAUAUUAAUAAUAGCAACAUAAUUAGAACAAGAGUAACCCAUACUAUCACUACCUAAGAUCCUCUUUAUUUUAAUAAUUCUAAUAGAACGUUCUUGUUCUUCUUCUGCUACUUGAUAAAAAGGAAAACCAAGGGCGAAAUAUACGAAGGGAAAUACUCCUUUUCGUAGGUCAAGUGUGUAGUAGAAGUAGGCCCCGAUGUUUCCAAUUCCUUUAUAAUCUUCCGGUGCUCUCAACCAGAUCCCAACUCAAAGCCUACCUUGGACUCUAAAAAUUCAGAUAGCACCUAAUGGAAUCUUCUCUCUUAGAUAACUUCCCGUGCAGCGCACAAAGACAGCUCCUCGUCAACCGUUACAAGUACAUGUACUAAAGCGUGUUAAGAUCAUUAGUUCUAGAUGUUUUUAUGAAGGUUGUGUCGCGUCUCUGUUAAGUAUCCUUCUAUUUGUACUAAAAACUGAAUGGAGUGUAGUUAUAUAACGGGACAAGUAGACCUCUGAAAAAGUUCAUUUGUUUAACCCAAUGACCUGUCGGAACACUAACGCAAGGAUUUGAUAUAAACAUUAGAACUAAAAAAUACGUAUCACGUGUUUAGUAUACAACCAACUAUGAUAAAGUAAUCAAACGAAUAUGAUGUUUUAUCACAACACUCUAAGACUUGACUACGAUCGAUUGAAUAAAGAAAAACAGUAAGUUGGUCGUAGUUCAACACCAUGUACUACAGCUCCUUCCUCACCUCUUUUCUGGCCUCAUCCUACACUAACAACGAAACGCCGGGUAGAACAAGCUUUCAUAGGGACGCAACCUGUACCGUUGAAUAUUAGGUCUUGAAAAAUAUCACGUGUUUGAACUACUACAUAGUUAUUGAGAACAUUAGUAACGAAAAUAAAGGCGUGUACUUUUGCCGAAUCCGGUUACGAGUUAGUAGCACUUUACGUCUGACUAUAGAAUUCGAACUACUUCACUACCUAUUCAACAUCACUAUAAAAAUUUUAAGAUCAACUGUACUUAAUACUUGGAAACAAUACACGGACACUAAAAACAGCAAAGAGUCUUAAUAAACACCUUACACUAAAAACAACAAAGAGUCUUAAUAAGCACCUUAAAAAUAGAUACUAAACCAACAAAAGGUUUUAAUAGACAUCUUAAAACUACAUUCUAGACGAUAUAAUAUACACAGAUAUCAUACGUUCUCUAAAGGAAGGGAGGGUACAAUGAUAAACCAGUGGACCUGUUACCCUUGUAGAGGGUGCACCACCCUCCCCAACGUACA